CUUAAAGAAUAAUACAAGUACCAAAGAUUCCAAUGUCUACUAUACGAUUGACUCUGCUUAUUAUUCAAUAUUAUCAUAUUACAUGGCGUUUGGCUUGAGAAUGCACUAGACUCUUAGGUGUGGAAGACAAAAGGAAAAAUUACAACAAUAAGCCCUUACAAUUCUAACCAAAUCCUAAUCAAAUCUUAGAUAAACCUUAAUCAAAUCUUAGUCAAAUCCUAUCCAAAUCCUAAACAAUCCUAAAUAAAUUCUAACCAAAUCGUAACCAAACCCUAAACAAUCCUAAAUAAAUCUUAACCAAAUCCUAAACAAACUCUAAACAAAUCCUAAAUAGCUCUAAACAAAUCGUAAUCAAACCAUAAUCGAAACCUAAAUAAUCUUAAAUAAAUCCUAAUUCUAGAUCAAAUCUUAACCAAAUCCUAAAUACUAAAUCAAACCCUAAUUCAAUCCUAACCCUAAAUCAAAUCUUAAUCAAAUCCUAAAUUCUAAAACAAAUCUUAACUAAACUCUAAAUACUAAAGCAAAUCCUAAACUCUAAAUCAAAUCCUAAUCCUAAAUCAAACCUUAAUUAAAUCCUAACCAUAAAUCAAAUCCUAACCAAAUCCUAAAUCCUAAAUCAAAUCUAAGUAAUUCCUACAAUAGAUUUAAACCUCAAUUAUUAAUCAAUGAA
rnacentral:lncRNA from 1 species